rnacentral:tRNA from 1 species
CAGGAGAUAGUUUAAAAGAAAAAUUUUGGCUUUGGGAGCCAAGGAUGAGGGUUUGUUUCCCUUUCUCUUGA